rnacentral:lncRNA from 1 species
AGAAAUAGCACACCACCACGAUGGAACAUGAUUCUGUUUUGAAAAUGAAACCAGGAUGACCAUUUAAUUUUACUCAUUACGGAAGAUGACCCUCAUCAUUGAUUAGUCCACAGAUCUUGCCCUUAGGGUAUUUUCUGUUAUAGACAGUAGUUACUGACUUUAGGAGCAGUGAUGUCUGAUGCCCAUUUAAUUAUCCUCAUUGGCAUCAUAAUUCUUUUAUGAUA